AUUGAACGCUGGCGGCAGGCCUAACACAUGCAAGUCGAACGAGUGGCGGACGGGUGAGUAAUGUCUGGGAAACUGCCUGAUGGCGGGGGAUAACUACUGGAAACGGUAGCUAAUACCGCAUACCAUCAGAUGUUCCCAGAUGGGAGUAGCUGGUUGGUGGGGUAACGGCUCACCAGGGCGACGAUCCCUAGCUGGUCUGAGAGGAUGACCAGCACAACUGGAACUGAAACACGGUCCAGCUCCCUCCGGGAGGAAGCAGUGGGAAUUAUUGCACAAUGGGCGCACGCCGAAUGCAGCAAUGCCGCGUGUAUGAAGAAGGCCUUCGGGUUGUAAAGUACUUUCAGCGGGGAGGCGUUACCCGAAGAAGAAGCACCGGCUAACUCCGUGCCAGCAGCCGCGGUAAUAC
rnacentral:rRNA from 1 species